rnacentral:lncRNA from 1 species
UCCACUCCUUAGGGUAGUCAGAGCAUUGGCUUGUUCAUGAUGAAUUGUAUUUGGUUGAUUUUCUUGAGCCAUGUAUUGUCCCCUAGGAUUACUCACUGGUUGGCUUGGAAGUUUUCCUUUCUCUCGCUUGUUCAGUGCAUUAGCUAGUUGCCCCAUCUGGGAUUCUAGCUUGGCGAUGGAUUGCGUGUGAGAGUGCACCAAUUGUGUAAUAGUUUCCAAACCUUGAAGGGAGUUCAACACUUUUUCCUCAAAAGCUGUGUUUUUUGGGGGUGCU